AGCAGAAGCGGAGGGAGCAGUGGAAACAGCAGCAGAGGCAGCGGAGGCAGCAGAAGGCAUCACAGGACAGUAUGGAUGUGUGUGAGCCAUCUCCACAAAAAGUAAUGUGCGUGGAAAUCAGCAAGGUGCCACGGAAGCCUAAAGUGAGGAGGCAAAAACACGAAGACCCGCAGCCCGUGUCCCAGCUCGACAUGAAGUUUUACUUGGACUUACUUAAAAAGGACAAUGCAGGUGUGAGCUGGUCACCUCCAGAGAAAAGGGAGAUCAAAAUCAGAGACCAGCCACUGGGACCAG